rnacentral:rRNA from 1 species
GAAUGCCUAGGCUCUCAGAGGCGAUGAAGGACGUGAUAAGCUGCGAUAAGCAAUGGGGAGUUGCACAUAAACUGUGAUCCAUUGAUUUCCGAAUGGGGCAACCUGUAUAUUCCUUAGGGAAGGCUAACGGGGGGAACUGAAACAUCUAAGUACCCCUAGGAAGAGAAAAUAAUAAUGAUUCUGUGAGUAGCGGCGAGCGAAAGUGGAAGAGCCCAAACCAAUAAUGUUUCGGCAUUGUUGGGGUUGUAGGACUACGAUGUGGACUUAAGUUGUAUAGUGGAAUUACCUGGAAAGGUAAGCCAUAGAGAGUGAAAGCCUUGUACACGGCAUGCAAUUUAUACCUAGUAGUAUCCUGAGUAGGGCGGGGCACGAGAAACCCUGUCUGAAUCUGCCGGGACCAUCCGGUAAGGCUAAAUACUCCUGAGAGACCGAUAGUGAACAAGUACCGUGAGGGAAAGGUGAAAAGCACCCCGACGAGGGGAGUGAAACAGUUCCUGAAACCGGACGCCUACAAGCAGUCGGAGGAGCCUCGAGCUCUGACGGCGUACCUUUUGUAUAAUGGGUCAUCGACUUGGUCUCACGAGCAAGCUUAAGCCGAUAGGUGUAGGCGCAGCGAAAGCGAGUCUUAAAAGGGCGUUUGAGUUCGUCGGAUUAGACCCGAAGCCGGGUGAUCUAGCCAUGGGCAGGUUGAAGGUG